AUAAGAGUUUGUUGUUUCCACCCUGUCGUGUUCCUAAUUGGUAUGUUGUAUUUUUUAUUGGGCUGAUUCGUGUUUACGAUGAGUCUUCCUGUAUCCAAGCCGAGUGCCUCUAAUCAAUUCCAAUUAGUCGGAUGACACGGACAAUUUACUGGUCU